rnacentral:rRNA from 1 species
UACAGAGGGUGCGAGCGUUAAUCGGAAUUACUGGGGCGUAAAGCGUGCGUAGACGGUUAUUUAAGUCGGGUGUGAAAAGCCCCGGGCUCAACCUGGGAAUUGCAUUCGAGACUGAAUAGCUAGGGUACGGUAGAGGGAAGCGGGAAUUUCCGGUGUAGCGGUGAAAAUUCGUAGAUAUCGGGAGGAACACCGGUGGCGAAGGCGGCGACCUGGGUAGAUACUGACGCUGAGGUGCGAAAGCGUGGGGAGCAAACAGGGAU